GACGAACGCUGGCGGCGUGCCUAAUACAUGCAAGUCGAGCGCAGGAAGUCGACGGAACCCUUCGGGGGGAAGUUGAUGGAAUGAGCGGCGGACGGGUGAGUAACACGUAAAGAACCUGCCCUCAGGUCUGGGAUAACCACGAGAAAUCGGGGCUAAUACCGGAUGGGUCAUCGGACCGCAUGGUCCGAGGAUGAAAGGCGCUUCGGCGUCGCCUGGGGAUGGCUUUGCGGUGCAUUAGCUAGUUGGUGGGGUAAUGGCCCGCCAAGGCGACGAUGCAUAGCCGACCUGAGAGGGUGAUCGGCCACACUGGGACUGAGACACGGCCCAGACUCCUACGGGAGGCAGCAGUAGGGAAUCUUCCACAAUGGACGAAAGUCUGAUGGAGCAACGCCGCGUGAACGAUGAAGGCCUUCGGGUCGUAAAGUUCUGUUGUAAGGGAAGAACAAGUGCCGCAGGCAAUGGCGGCACCUUGACGGUACCUUGCGAGAAAGCCACGGCUAACUACGUG
rnacentral:rRNA from 1 species